rnacentral:rRNA from 1 species
CCUACGGGAGGCAGCAGUGGGGGAUAUUGCACAAUGGGGGGAACCCUGAUGCAGCGACGCCGCGUGGGUGAAGGAGUAUUUCGGUAUGUAAAGCCCUAUCGGCAGGGAAGAAAUCGGACGGUACCUGACUAAGAAGCCUCGGCUAACUACGGGCCAGCAGCCGCGGUAAUACGGAGGGGGCAAGCGUGAUGCGGAUUCACUGGGCGUAAAGGGAGCGUAGACGGCCAUGCAAGCCAGGGGUGAAAGCCCCGGGCCCAACCCCGGGACUGCCCUUGGAACUGGAUGGCUGGAGUGCGGGAGGGGCAGGCAGAAUUCCUGGUGUAGCGGUGAAAUGCGUAGAGAUCAGGAGGAACACCGGCGGCGAAGGCGGCCUGCUGGACCACGACUGACGUUGAGGCGCGAAAGCGUGGGGAGCGAACAGGAUUAGAUACCCGGGUAGUC